UACGGGGGGGGCAAGCGUUGUUCGGAAUUACUGGGCGUAAAGAGCUCGUAGGCGGUCUGUCGCGUCGGUCGUGAAAACUUGGGGCUUAACCCUGAGCUUGCGGUCGAUACGGGCAUGACUGGAGUUCGGCAGGGGAGACUGGAAUUCCUGGUGUAGCGGUGAAAUGCGCAGAUAUCAGGAGGAACACCGGUGGCGAAAGCGGCGCGCUGGACCCCUUCUGACGCUGAGGCGCGAAAGCCAGGGGAGCAAACGGG
rnacentral:rRNA from 1 species